GGAUUAAUUGGAGACGACGUGUUG
rnacentral:siRNA from 1 species